rnacentral:rRNA from 1 species
CCUACGGGUGGCAGCAGUGAGGAAUAUUGGUCAAUGGGCGCUAGCCUGAACCAGCCAAGUCGCGUGAAGGAUGACUGCCCUAUGGGUUGUAACCUUCUUUUAUCUGGGAAUAAAGUGCAGUAUGUAUACUGCUUUGCAUGUACCUUAUGAAUAAGGAUCGGCUAACUCCGUGCCAGCAGCCGCGGUAAUACGGAGGAUCAGAGCGUUAUCCGGAUUUAUGGGGUUGAAAGGGAGCGUAGGCGGGUUGUUAAGUCAGUUGUGAAAGUUUGCGGCUCAACCGUAAAAUUGCAGUUGAUACUGGCAUCCUUGAGUACAGGAGAGGCAGGCGGAAUUCGUGGUGUAGCGGUGAAAUGCGUAGAUAUAACGAAGAACUCCGAUUGCGAAGGCAGCCUGCUGGACUGUAACUGACGCUGAGGCGCGAAAGUGUGGGUAUCAAACAGGAUUAGAUACCCGUGUAGUC